rnacentral:rRNA from 1 species
UACGUAGGGGGCAAGCGUUGUCCGGAAUCAUUGGGCGUAAAGAGCGUGUAGGCGGCCCGAUAAGUCCGCUGUGAAAGUCCAGGGCUCAACCCUGGAAUGCCGGUGGAUACUGUCGGGCUCGAAUCCGGAAGAGGUGAGUGGAAUUCCUGGUGUAGCGGUGAAAUGCGCAGAUAUCAGGAGGAACACCAAUGGCGAAGGCAGCUCACUGGGACGGUAUUGACGCUGAGGCGCGAAAGCGUGGGUAGCAAACAGG